CUUUCCUCCUCUCCCUUCCUCCCUUCCUUCCCUUCUCCCGCUUCGUCCACGCUGCGGAAUGAAGGCGCCCUGCCGCCGCUUUGAACCACCGCCUUGGAAUCCUGGGGGUUCUUUGAACAGCAAGGGAGGAGGAGGAGGAGGGCCUCGAAAGGGAUGGUUCAUGGACCAGCAUAGAUUCAUAGACCAUCAUUUUGAGUAGCAUUGGAGGGACUAAUUAUUUUUUUCUUCAUGCCCUUUAAAAUCUCAACGGGUCUUUUAGGAGUUCUGCAUUAUCUUGUUUCAUGAAUGUAACCCAUUGAGCGAAAAUGCCCUGCAUAAGUAACAUCUGACCCUGGGCAGCAUGAAAUUUAUCUGAACCCAACAUAAUGGAUGGCUGCAGUAGUCUAAAUGCCAAAUUCAAUCGUGGAAGAUCACACUCAAACAGAGAUGUGGCCUCUGGACUUCACAAAUAUGGCUCCAAAAGAUACCAAUUCACCUCUGAUCUUGGAAGCUAAGCAGGGUCUGACCUGGUUAAUACAUGGAUGGGAGAACAACAACAACAACUGGUUGCUGUAGGCUAUAUUUCAGAGGAAAACAUUUCUGAGUUUUUUUUUUUUUGCCUUAAUAAAACCCUAUGAGAUUCAUAGAGUUGUCAUCAGUUGAAAGGUGACUUGAAGGCACACGACAUACAACACAGUGCCUCCUAGGUGAGCUACAGUAGAGUCUCACUUAUCCAACACUCGCUUAUCCAACGUUCUGGAUUAUCCAACGCAUUUUUGUAGUCAAUGUUUUCAAUACAUCGUGAUAUUUCGAUGCUAAAUUCGUAAAUACAGUAAUUACUACAUAGCAUUACUGCGUAUUGAACUACUUUUUCUGUCAAAUUUAUUGUGUAACAUGAUGUUUUGGUGCUUAAUUUGUAAAAUCAUAACCUAAUUUGAUGUGUAAUAGGCUUUUCCUUAAUCCCUCCUUAUUAUCCAACAUAUUUGCUUAUCCAACGUUCUGCCGGCCUGUUUAUGUUGGAUAAGUGAGACUCUACUGUAGUUACAAAUUAAUAAAGAAGAACCGAUCUGGUCCUGAGUGGUGGUAUCCAUAUUCCAUAUGUAUUGGAGUUUGAUCACCCCUGCUUGAUCUCUCAUGGCACCCUAGGAUUCCAGGGAGCCCCAGUUGAGAAACCUUGCCUUAUAUAUUACUUUAAAAAUACCCCUUUCUGAAAACCAGAAAUGGUACUUCCAAUCAAGGCAGGCAGUAUUGAAUUAGAUGAAGUAGGGUUCUGACCUUCCAGCAGGUUGUAAUGGAGGUUGUAAUGGAGUGCUCAAAUUUAAAUGCAAUCCUAAGUAUGAAAAAUACUGAGCGUCUAGUUGUUUCUGGGGUGAAACUUCUAAGCAGCAUACCUGUUAUUGAAAAAUUGGACCGUAGAAGAAUGAACCCCUUAGUCUAUGGCUCCAUAGACUAAUCUAUGAAACCAUAAUAGUCUGAAUUAAGGAGCCCACAUUGACUUUACCCCUAGUUUCAUUGAAAGGCCCUGAAUGUUGAAUAAGCACUGUACACAGCUCAGACCCCAGGGAAUAGAUUGGCCACACACUAGUUAGUAUAAUCCUUUCACAGUACCCCGGGAAGACACACACAUAUGAUGGACUGUUUUUCUUGAUAUGAUCUCAUUUUAUUCCUGGAAAUGUUUCCUCAUCUCUGUUAUCAAAUCAGACCCCUCUCCCUGGGGUCCCCAUUGAACAUCCUUUUGUUUAUGUGACUGACACCCAUUGUAUUAACCAGAGCAGGGACAUGAAAAUCCAUUUUAGCUCAUUAUCUCUCAUCACACCACAUUCCUUUCCACUUGCUCUUCUCUCCUGGGUGGAUCAAUAAACAAACACAAGCCUUCAAAAUAAUCCAAUGGUACUUCUCAGGGACAUACCUCUUUUUAUUCAAAUUCCCAGACUACUUGACAAGCCUCUGAGUCCUCCAUUUUGCUCAUCUCCUGUGAGUAUGGAGUGACACAAGAUGUCUACAGAGAGAUAGUUAGAUGGCCAGGGUCUAACUUUGCUAUAUAGAAAUGUAGUUCUUUCAAUAAGGUCUUUGGUACUUUUAAAGCUUGACUCUGAUCCUGUAAUUGCUUGUGCGCAUUUGGUCUACUGCUAGCUCAAGAAGCUUCUGAUUUGCUCAAAUUGCUGCUGUUGCUGCUGAAUUACCUUUUAAAAUGCUUUAUCCUUUUUGAUAUUACUCAACAGAAGCUGUAGUCCAACAAUAUCUAGAAUAAUAACACGUAAUACAAUAAGAAUACACUUUAUUUAUAUUCCACCCUUAUGCUCUAGGGGAUUACAGCAUUUACAGCAGACACAGGCAUACAUUCAAUGCCUUACAAUCACAUACAAUGAGACACACAAACACAGAUAAAGGCAAAGGCUUCUCCUUUCAUUUCUGGCUUCUGGAGGCGGUGCUCAUCUCUGGCUCUGGGGAAGGUGCUCUUCUCCAUUUUCAAGCUGUGUUGUCACCUCCUGGUCAUGUGGCCAGCAAGAUUGCUUGGAACGUCAUUUUGCCUUUUCCUGCCAAAGCGGUACCUAUUUAUCUACUCACAUUGGCAUGUUUUCAAAACUGCUAUGUUGGCACGAGCUAGGCUUCACAGUGGGAGCUCACACCGUCCCGUGGAUUCGAACUGCCAACCUUCAGGUCAGCAGUACAAGGGUUUCACCCAUUGCGCCACCAUGACCCCUGGAACUCUAGAUGAUUCUGCAUCUCCAAAUUUGAUCCUACAAAUUUGAUCAUAGUGUAGCAGCACAUAAGACUACAGCUCCCAGAAUCCCCAGUUGACAUGCCAAGUGGUCAUACUGGCUGGGGGAUUCCGGGAAUGGUAAUCCAAGCAUCUUAGCUGUAUGGUGUAUAGUAUGCUUUUGGUCCACCAGUACAACUGGUUUGGUUUGUGGACAUCUUAAGCCAAAGAAUUAUGUUCCUCUUAGAUGGAAACCUAACUUACAGCAGAGAAAGCAAAUGUAAUUAUAUUUGACAGUACCUUGCCCAUGAGCAAAUCUGCCAACUGCGAGCUUUUUACUGCUAUUCUUAGCUUCAUCGCAGGAGUAGCAUUUUAAAAGAGCAAAGGCUUGUGGAUGCCUUUGGCCGCCCUCUUAACUACAAAUUGCAUUGCCAAUCUCCCUUUGGGGUCUAUUCCUGAAAGGCCAUUUUGUUUCAUACUGAGUAGUAAAGACUUCUUUCCUUUAUCUUUUAUUCUUUGUGCACACACAGCUCUCUCCAUUCCUUCCUGGUAGAUUUAAAACAGGAUUUAACAGCUGGAAAACAGGAGGGAAAAUAACAGGCAAUACAACAUCACUGUAUCAACAUGUGGUGAAACCUUACCUGCUGAAUUACUGCCUGCUAGAGCUUUGCCAGAAAAGACAUGUAGCAGACCCAUGGUACAAUUUGAUGGUGCUCUUGCUCUUGUUAAAGGCACAUCUACACUGUGCUUCAGGCAGCUUUGUAAUCAGUGUAGAGAUGUGAUGAAAAUUCAUUGCUGUUCGCAAAGUUUAUGUAAAUUUCAAUACUAUUGCUGAAAUAUUUUUUGAGCUUCCAAAUUGCCAGCUACUUGUUCCAGGUAUGAGAAUUUACAAAUACUUCCUCUGCAAAAGAAAUAAUGGGGCAGGCACUUUGAUAGGUAGCUCGGCAGACAUUUUUGGUUGAGAGUCAACCCAGUUGACGUGUCUUGCUCUCCAGGAAGCACCAAGAACAGUCAUAGAUUUCUCUUACACCUUUCAGAAUGGGAAGAAUAAAAGGAGAAAACUGCAUCGCUAAGCAACAGCACUACCUUAUCACAGCUGUCGAGAACAUUGGCAAUUACAGUACAUGGAAAGUAAUUGUGACAAGAACGAAGUAGGCUUUGUGAGAUCUACAGAGGAAACAAGCUUUUUCUGGGUCCCACCAGCAUCAUUGGCACAUGGUUGGUGAGAGCAGAGGAAAGAGCCUUUUUUAUUAUUGUUUAUAAACUAAUGAAUUCCUUCUCAUGAAGCUGCCUCCCUCUACAUUCGCUUGGGAAAUGCUCCAUUGUUUGGUUUGGAACUCCUAGAAUCCCAUAGACAUAGUUCAUCCAGGAAUCAACAUCCAGGAAAAAAGGUAACAAACUAGAAAUUAGGAUAAAAUUAGGGCCAUGGUGGCACAGUGGGUUAAACCCUUGUGCUGCUGAACUGCUGACCUGAAGGUUGGCAAUUCGAAUCCGUGGGACGUGGU